rnacentral:lncRNA from 10 species
UAAGGUGAAGCCCCAAAUGGGAGGUUACGAGCCCUGGAAUCUAGACCCAGCUGCCAUUUCUAAACUCCCCAACUUAGCUUGAAUCAUGGGUCUGUUUCCUCUCCUAGAUAAUGGAGAUAAUGAUGUCUUUCCUGCCUACUUCACUGGGCUGCAGUGACAGGAGCCAUUGCUAAUUGUGAUGUUAAUAAGCACCCAGGACCCGUUCUCUCUGAGUCAGUGUCCUUAGCAAAGGGAAGUGAAUUCUGAUGUUGAAAUCUCUGUCCUCCCCUAAGCUAACAUCUUUCUUAACCCUUCAGGGUGCACGCCACAAUUUCCUUUUGUAAGUGGAGCGCCUUGCUUUCCAAAAUGCUGGAGUAGCAAUGUACCUUUUUUAAAAUUAAAAUUAAAAAAAAUUUUUUGAGAUGGAGUCUUGCUGCAUUGCCCAGGCUGGAGUGCGAUGGCGUGACAGAGCAAGACCCUGUCUCUAUUAAUUAAAAAAAAAAAGAGUAAAAUUCUGAAAAUAUGGAUGAACCUUGAAAACGUUAUGCUAAGAGGAAUAAGCCGGUCACAAAAGGACAAAUAACUGUGUGAUUGCGGGUGCAAGUCAGAGUCUGGGUUUGAGGAGGGAGGCUCCGCAGCUCUGUUGGGUAAAUGCACUCAUUCCCUGUGGAUCCUGGGGUCGGUUCCCCAGUGCAGGUUUAGCAGAGCCCUGGGUGAAAAUGCCCUUUUCUCCUGGUCAUUGGCCUCUUUUACACUCCUGUUGGGGCUCCCCACGCUGGGCCCCCAGGAAGGGCUGCCCUUCCUCCCUGCCCAAGGGGCUGUGGGCAUGCCUAGGAAGGGCCUGUCCACCUGCCCCCUCCUCUCUGGGUGCGGGGAGUGGUGGGUCUGUAGCUCACUGAGGACCCUGUGAUCAGGGCUCAGGCAGCCCACUGCAGGUUUUCAGUCAUUUCUGGGUCCCUAAGCCCGUCGUGGGGCAAGGUGCACUCCUCCUCUCUCCUGUAGACAUUCUGGCUCCUCCAGUCUGGCUCGCCUCCUGAGUUGUGGCUGCUGUCCAGCAUAUGUACUCAGAGCUGGCCAAAUGUUUGCUUUAAGGAGGGUGUGCUCACCGCAAGGUUCAUGACUAAGAUUUCCAGGGAACUCUGGUUCUGGGGUGGACUUCGAGAUGAGACCCAGGAGCCUUCUCUUGACUCUACUGUGCUCUUAAGUUCUUGUGGGUGGGACCUGGAGCAAGCCACCAAGCCUUUUCUUUGUCCAAGAGACAAGGGCUAAUCCUGGCUAACCUGCUCCCUGGGAUUUGGGUUCAGAGCCCUUCAGAUUAUGUCACAGUGAGUGUCACAGGUGACACUGUCACUAGAGCAGGUGAGCCACUUUAUAGUAGGCCACCAAAGCUGGGUGCAUCACUACUGGAUGGCCCUGCCCAAGGGCUCCCCUGCUACUCCCAUUACUGGGGCUGCAGAGACUGGCCCAUCCAUCUGGCGCCUGCACAAAGGCUGCCAGCUGGUAGGUCUCUUGACCAUGCCCAGUUGGCUGCUGCAUUGCUUCUCCUUGCAGGUGGCCAGCAGCCCAUGGUUUGGCAUCCUGCACUUUCUGUUUGGAACACACACUGGCCUAUCACUCUGUUUCCCAAGGUCCUUGGGUUGAGCUACCUAAGCCUGGCGCAUUCAACACUGAGACUCACCCUGUGCUGCAAACAUUCCCUGUGUGUUUUACAAACAUUCCCUGUGUGUUUUGGCUUGACCUUUUAGGAGCAAGGUUUGUUAAUUAAGGGAGUACCCUCACCUUCUUACCACUGCCCUCUUCGUCUCUCCCAGCCUCUAUCCCCAUCGUCCCCUCUUCUCAGUCCUAGAAUCACUUUAUUUCCUACUGUCUCUGUUUCUUCCUCUCCUCCUUUUAAGCAGCCUGAAAAGAGGAUGAUGACGA